rnacentral:rRNA from 1 species
GUGGGGAAUAUUGGACAAUGGGCGCAAGCCUGAUCCAGCAAUACCGCGUGUGUGAAGAAGGCCUGAGGGUUGUAAAGCACUUUCAAUGGGAAGGAACACCUAUCGGUUAAUACCCGGUAGACUGACAUUACCCAUACAAGAAGCACCGGCUAACUCCGUGCCAGCAGCCGCGGUAAUACGGAGGGUGCAAGCGUUAAUCGGAAUUACUGGGCGUAAAGCGUGCGUAGGCGGUUUUUUAAGUCAGAUGUGAAAGCCCUGGGCUUAACCUGGGAACUGCAUUUGAUACUGGGGAACUAGAGUUGAGUAGAGGAGAGUGGAAUUUCAGGUGUAGCGGUGAAAUGCGUAGAGAUCUGAAGGAACACCAGUGGCGAAGGCGGCUCUCUGGACUCAAACUGACGCUGAGGUACGAAAGCGUGGGUAGCAAACAGGAUUAGAUACCCGAGUAGUCC